AGAUGGAGUUUCACCACGUUGGCCAAGCUGGUUUUGAACUCCAGACCUCAAGUGAUCUGCCCGCCUCGGCCUCCCAAAGUGCUGGGAUUAUACAUGUGAGCCACCGUGCCUGGCCUUGAGUUACAUUUUCAUGGGGACUUGGGACAAUCGGAAAUGCAUCCACCACACUUGCAGACUGACUGGUGAUCCUGAAAUGAUGGCGUGUGGGAGAGGCAUGGGCUUCCUUUAAGAGCCGCCAGAGCCAGGGCAGGGGCACCUUGUGCCUUGACAUAAGGAAGGCUCCCCUGCCAGGAUAGACAGAAGAGCUGCCGAAGAGGUGGAGCCAGGCAGGGGCCACAGGCCCGUGAAGGUCUCAGCAGAGCCCCCAGGAGAGUUGGACUUGCUGCAAGCAGAGCCUAUGGCUCUGCGGUUCCAGGAGAACUGUUUGUGCCCCUUGCCCCACUGCCUGCCAGCUGUCCCCAAAAGGACCAGAGGAUCAGAGUAGCCCACUCCAGACGAGGUGCGGGCACCAUGCUGUUACCAUCUGCUGCCCCUCUUUCCAUCUUUCCAUCUUACUUCCUGCGUGGCCCAGCAUCCAGGCUGUCUAGGGCCGUGGGAGACCUGGAGAGCCAUUAAAAACAACAACUGGCAGCACACAGGCAUUUUUUGGCAGCACACGGAAACUCACACGGAACAGACAGGGAGCCGGAGGUCCAGCAGUGCCUCACGGGGCA
rnacentral:lncRNA from 10 species